rnacentral:lncRNA from 1 species
CUAGAGUGAAAUUUUUUUGAAAAUCAUAUUACAUGCAUACAGAAAAUGAAAAAAAUAAACUUUGCACGCAUUUAAAGCUGUGCUUUAUCUUUCUAUCUUGUAUUAAUCCUAAUUCAAGUUGAGCCCAGAAUAAUUUUAUUCCGCCUAUUAUGAGCUCUUUAUACAGCCACACUGUUUAUGCUUUUUGUAUAUCAAUUUUUAUCUUUUUAUCUUGUAUUAAUCCUAAUUCAAGUCGAACCCAAAAUAAUUUUAUUCCACCUAUUAUGAGCUCUUUUUACGGCCACACUGUUUAUGCUUUUUGUAUAUCAAUUUGUCUAUUCCAGUAUGAAAGUGUCGGUGUUGAUUUUGUCUUGGCUUAAUUCGAUUUGUUUGUAGU